rnacentral:lncRNA from 15 species
UAGCUAGCUUUAGCUUUAGCUGAAUUAGCUAACGUUAAUAUUUGCUAAAACAAAACGGUACAGACUGAAUCUUUCUAACAGUUAACGUCAGAUUCAAAACACGGCUUCGCUAAAAUAAUGGGUAAUUACAGUCAAUAACACAAAUAAAACAUUGUUCUUGAUUUCAGUUUAAUUACCAAACUUAUUUUCUUCUUCUAAUAUUUAUUACAUUUUAGCUUCUAAAGAGACACAAAUACAAAAAUGUCCUCCCAACUUUGAUGUUUUGAAACUUAGAUACACUGCCUGUUGUUGGUAUAUUCACACACACACACACACACACACACACACACACACGUCAUAGUAUUGGGUCAGGAUUUCAUAGAUUGUGUAUAAGAAAGUGGAUCUAUCAGUGUAUUAAACAACUGACUAUUAAUUGCUUCUCAUGAAGUGAAAGGAAGUUUUAUCACUCUCAUACUGUGUAAUAUCCUUUACUGCCACCUGAAGGUUUCUGCAGACAGAAGAUUUCAACGAUUAAACCUUCUGCCCUCUGGCCACAGUCCUCAGCUGUCAGACAUUAAAGAAUGAGCAAAAACGUAUCAUGUUGAUGACUAUAUUUACAUAAUUUGCUGUCUAUCACAGUGUUACAGAUUUGUUCAAAUGUGUCAGGAUAAAUUAGGUAUGUACCUACACUAAGUGAUGUUGGAGAAUUAGUAGAAAGUAAAAAUAGUGUUUCUGUGAAAAUGAAACUCAAGAGACAAACGGAAGUAGUAGAGUUGCAAGCGAGUGGAGAUGAGGUAAAAGCUGUGCACACACAGCUAUGCAGUGGUUGAGGUAACACCCGGAGUAUAUAAAGCAUGUUGAGGUCUCAUCUCAGCUAUCCUUCCGUUUACCCAGCAGCGAUGGCAGCAGCAGCUUUGUCCAGAAGCAGAGGAGUGGCUGGUGUCACAGCCACCAGAGGCCUGCUCUUCAUCUUCUCCCUACUGUGUCUGGUUUGCCUCGCAAGUUCAUUCAUUGACAAGGACCAACUGGAAAAGCUAAAGGAAAAUGUCCAGAAAGCAGAACAACAACUGGAAAGUUUGAAGGAAAAGUACAAAUUAGAAAUGGCCUCCAGUUUAGAGCUCAUAAAUGAAUAUAUGGGCUACCUGGACCCAAUGAUAGCAUUAGUGAAGAAAGCUACUGGAACAUCACCUGAUGACUUUCCACCAGUGGAUGCACUUCUGCAGAGCGUCAAGGCCAACAUGGAGAAAACCAAGAGUUACGUGGAAGACCAAAAAGUGAAGUUAGGUGCAGAACUAGAGAACCUUGAAAAGGAUCUUGAAAAACAAAAGAAAUUGAUCAAAUUCCUUGAGGAGCAGCAGGGUGAAUUGUAA